UUUUUUGGUCAGAAAUUUAUGGGCGCUUUGUUCGCCAGCUUCUGCAACAAUACAAAAAUGUCCUGGUCAAUUUCGGGAUGGAAAGAUGAUCAUUCACAGUCAACAGGAAUGAUGCAGUUUUCCAGGUUCACAUCUUGUAGAAGAGGGCUUUUGGAUGCUAGCUCAGCUAGUGAGGAGUCAAAGAUUUCUACCUGUACUAGAGAUAGCCUCUGAAGAGAUUCAAAAACUUGAAAGCUAGAUGAUCUAAAAUUGCAAAAGUUCAGGAUUAAAGUUUCCAAUACUUUGGGUGCAAAACUGCCAUGAGGUAAUUCAUAUAAUUCAGUAAGGUCAGUGGCUUCAUAAAAUUGUCCAGCAGAGAAGUCCAAAAAAAGCUCUCUGAUUUCAUUUUCAAAAGCAAAUUUAACCCAGCUAUUGAUCUUCCUAGUGUAUCCAAAUACCUCAUGUGCUUCAAAUUGGAAUGAUAACAGUAAGUUAUUGAUAGUGCAACCAGAAUGGAGCAGAAAGGAUUGAUCCACAAACUGUAUGGAUUUCUCUCGUGCAGCAUGUAUCAAUUGAUAUAGGGAUUGCAGAUAAUUACGGGUACUUGCAAAAUUGCCAGUUAGUGGAAGCUGCAGAAGUUGUAUAUCUUUUCUGAGGAUACUCCUUGUCAUCUCUACUUCAUUGAAAUUCAGGUUUUGUGGAAUCACCGAAAAGAAACUUGCAACAAUGCCUUUCCAUCGUUUUGAUAAGAGACUCAUUACAAUCAACUCUCUGUGUGGAAGGAACGAAAGGAUGUGGAAUAAAAUUGCUUCAGGAUGACCUUGGAGUUCCAGAUACAUAUCGACAUUGUUCUGCAAAAUUUAUUUCAUGUAUGUUACGAUAGUACUGAUCCCAGGAAUGAACCAUUAUAGCUUUGACUGAGUUAUCGACCUAUCAACUGCGCUGUGCACCAUGGAACUCCUAUCUUCGGAAUUGAAAGAGACAUUAUUUUCGCAAUGGAAAUAUCCACUCUAGCAAACUAUAUAGGUAUAGGAAACUGAGCUUUGUUUAAACCCGGUAACUAGGACACAAUGUUUACACCACCAAGCACACUUCUGAUAAUUUUAUUCCUUUCACUUGAAAAUGUCCUUGAAAUCAUUGGCUAGCUAUAGAAAUAGAAAUUCAUUGUUGUAAAGGACAAAUCGUCCCUGUUGCAUCUCUCAGCUUGACAGGAAAGAUUUUGGAGAAUGUUACAGUUUGAGUUUGGGUUAUAGAUUUAAUUCAUAGUAGCCUGACACGUUCAGGAUGUAUAUAUCUAGUGUAGUUUACUUGGUUUGUUUCCACAAAAUCUGGGUUAAAUUC